rnacentral:rRNA from 1 species
CCUACGGGGGGCAGCAGUGAGGAAUAUUGGUCAAUGGCCGUAAGCCUGAACCAGCCAAGUCGCGUGAAGGAAGAAGGACCUAUGGUUUGUAAACUUCUUUUAUAGGGGAGUAAGGGUAUCAACGUGUCGAUAUUCGCAUGGACCCUAUCAAAAAGGAUCGGCUAACCCCGGGCCAGCAGCCGCGGUAAUACGGUGGAUGCGAGGGUUAUCCGGAUUUAUUGGGUUUAAAGGGUGCGUAGGGUGUUUUUUAAGUCAGCGGUGAAAGUUUGUGGCUCAACCAUAAAAUUGCCGUUGAAACUGGAAGACUUGAGUGUGUUUGAGGAAGGCGGAAUGCGUGGUGUAGCGGUGAAAUGCAUAGAUAUCACGCAGAACUCCGAUUGCGAAGGCAGCUUUCUAAGCCAUAACUGACACUGAGGCACGAAAGCGUGGGGAUCAAACAGGAUUAGAUACCCUAGUAGUC